GACGAACGCUGGCGGCGUGCUUAACACAUGCAAGUCGAACGGUGAAGCCUUUCGGGGUGGAUCAGUGGCGAACGGGUGAGUAACACGUGGGCAAUCUGCCCUGCACUCUGGGACAAGCCCUGGAAACGGGGUCUAAUACCGGAUGAUACUUUCUGGGGCAUCUUGGGAAGUUGAAAGCUCCGGCGGUGCAGGAUGAGCCCGCGGCCUAUCAGCUUGUUGGUGGGGUGAUGGCCUACCAAGGCGACGACGGGUAGCCGGCCUGAGAGGGCGACCGGCCACACUGGGACUGAGACACGGCCCAGACUCCUACGGGAGGCAGCAGUGGGGAAUAUUGCACAAUGGGCGAAAGCCUGAUGCAGCGACGCCGCGUGAGGGAUGACGGCCUUCGGGUUGUAAACCUCUUUCAGCAGGGAAGAAGCGUGAGUGACGGUACCUGCAGAAGAAGCACCGGCUAACUACGUGCCAGCCGCCGCCGUAAAAC
rnacentral:rRNA from 1 species